rnacentral:rRNA from 1 species
GAACGCUAGCGGCAGGCUUAAUACAUGCAAGUCGUGGGGCAGCAUGAGUAGCAAUACUUGAUGGCGACCGGCAAACGGGUGAGGAACACGUACACAACCUUCCUUCAAGCGGGGAAUAGCCCAGAGAAAUUUGGAUUAAUACCCCAUAAUAUAUUUGAUAAGGCAUCUUAUUAAUAUUAAAGCUUCGGCACUUGAUGAUGGGUGUGCGGCUGAUUAGAUAGUUGGCGGGGUAACGGCCCACCAAGUCUACGAUCAGUAGCUGAUGUGAGAGCAUGAUCAGCCACACGGUCACUGAGACACGGGCCCGACUCCUACGGGAGGCAGCAGUAAGGAAUAUUGGACAAUGGACGAAAGUCUGAUCCAGCCAUGCCGCGUGAAGGAUUAAGGUCCUCUGGAUUGUAAACUUCUUUUAUAUGGGACGAAAAAAGGGCAUUCUUGUUCACUUGACGGUACCAUAUGAAUAAGCACCGGCUAACUCCGUG